AGUGAACGCUGGCGGUAGGCCUAACACAUGCAAGUCGAACGGCAGCACAAUAAGAGCUUGCUCUUACGGGUGGCGAGUGGCGGACGGGUGAGGAAUACAUCGGAAUCUACUUUUUCGUGGGGGAUAACGUAGGGAAACUUACGCUAAUACCGCAUACGACCUACGGGUGAAAGCAGGGGAUCUUCGGACCUUGCGCGAUUGAAUGAGCCGAUGUCGGAUUAGCUAGUUGGCGGGGUAAAGGCCCACCAAGGCGACGAUCCGUAGCUGGUCUGAGAGGAUGAUAAGCCACACUGGAACUGAGACACGGUCCAGACUCCUACGGGAGGCAGCAGUGGGGAAUAUUGGACAAUGGGCGCAAGCCUGAUCCAGCCAUCCCGCGUGGGUGAAGAAGGCCUUCGGGUUGUAAAGCCCUUUUGUUGGGAAAGAAAAGCAGCAGGUUAAUACCCCGCUGUUCUGACGGUACCCAAAGAAUAAGCACCGGCUAACUUCGUG
rnacentral:rRNA from 1 species